UACGAAGGGGGCUAGCGUUGCUCGGAAUCACUGGGCGUAAAGGGCGCGUAGGCGGACUCUUAAGUCGGGGGUGAAAGCCCAGGGCUCAACCCUGGAAUUGCCUUCGAUACUGAGAGUCUUGAGUUCGGAAGAGGUUGGUGGAACUGCGAGUGUAGAGGUGAAAUUCGUAGAUAUUCGCAAGAACACCAGUGGCGAAGGCGGCCAACUGGUCCGAUACUGACGCUGAGGCGCGAAAGCGUGGGGAGCAAACAGG
rnacentral:ncRNA from 4 species